AUUGAACGCUGGCGGCAGGCCUAACACAUGCAAGUCGAGCGGUAGCACAGGAGAGCUUGCUCUCCGGGUGACGAGCGGCGGACGGGUGAGUAAUGUCUGGGAAACUGCCUGAUGGAGGGGGAUAACUACUGGAAACGGUAGCUAAUACCGCAUAACGUCUUCGGACCAAAGUGGGGGACCUUCGGGCCUCACGCCAUCAGAUGUGCCCAGAUGGGAUUAGCUAGUAGGUGAGGUAAUGGCUCACCUAGGCGACGAUCCCUAGCUGGUCUGAGAGGAUGACCAGCCACACUGGAACUGAGACACGGUCCAGACUCCUACGGGAGGCAGCAGUGGGGAAUAUUGCACAAUGGGCGCAAGCCUGAUGCAGCCAUGCCGCGUGUAUGAAGAAGGCCUUCGGGUUGUAAAGUACUUUCAGCGAGGAGGAAGGCAUUGUGGUUAAUAACCACAGUGAUUGACGUUACUCGCAGAAGAAGCACCGGCUAACUCCGUGCCAGCAGCCGCGGUAAUACGGAGGGUGCAAGCGUUAAUCGGAAUUACUGGGCGUAAAGCGCACGCAGGCGGUCUGUCAAGUCGGAUGUGAAAUCCCCGGGCUCAACCUGGGAACUGCAUUCGAAACUGGCAGGCUAGAGUCUUGUAGAGGGGGGUAGAAUUC
rnacentral:rRNA from 1 species